rnacentral:rRNA from 1 species
UACGGGGGGGGCAAGCGUUGUUCGGAAUUAUUGGGCGUAAAGGGCGCGUAGGCGGCCUGGCAAGUGGAUGGUGAAAUCCCUCGGCUUAACCGAGGAACUGCCAUCCAGACUGCUUGGCUUGAGACCGGGAGAGGUGAGUGGAAUUCCCAGUGUAGCGGUGAAAUUCGUAGAUAUUGGGAAGAACACCGGUGGCGAAGGCGGCUCUCUGGACCGAUACUGACGCUGAGGCGCGAAAGCGUGGGGAGCAAACAGG